UGAUUUCGGGAUAAUUCUCCAGCGUUGGAGUCAGCCACGGCUUACCUGGAAGAUUGAAUGUCUACUUGGCUUUCUUCCUGUCAGCCGUGGGUGCCUCUUGCUACUGGAAGAGCUCUGUGAUGGUUC
rnacentral:precursor_RNA from 7 species